GAAGUGGUACAUCGACAUGAACAAUAGGAGAGAAAAUACUUCUCCGUUCUCAUCAGAUCUUGUCGUAGUGGGUGGAUUGGGUGUGGUGCUGAUCCAUGCUCCUGUGUUCUAUGGGGGAGUGCAGGGCUGGAGAGUUCAAGGAGCCGGACUGGUUCUUCAACAGAAAGAAGGGCGGCAUGUUCCUGACCAGGAGCCAGGAAGGACUACAACUUUAUUUGGUUUCCAAAUUUUUCAUAAGAAUCUGCAACCGUAAGAGUAGCAAGUAAAUUUGGCAUAGGUAAACUGAAAUACUCCAUGUUCUAUAAACAUGUGUGCUACUAUAGUGAACCAUAUGGGAUGUUUUAAGCUGGACUUUAGUUAAUUAGUUUGUGCAAAGACGCAGUAUGUGGUGCAGUGUUGUGGUCCGUGAGUUGACAAGUGGAUUCAUAAGGUCGGAUUGAUAAGAAUCUGGAUAGGAAUCCUUGAGUUGGCUCGGAUUGAUAAGCACCAAGAAUCUUGCAGCCCCCAAAUCCUUGAGUUGGUUCAGAGUUAGCCUUGGCUGCUCCCCUGCUUGAAAAUGGCCCUGAUUUAGGUUUAGAGUUAACCUUUCUUAGGCUAUUUCACACGCUAUGGCUGAAGUUUUUGUUCCCUGCUAAAAAGCCUUCAUUUUUGUUACCUCCGAUUCAGGUUCCCCUAAUUCAGGUUCAUUUUUGUGUACUGCUCCCUGCUAAGAAACCUUCAUCUUAUAAUGCUUUUGUUAGCUCUGUCUGAACAUUUUCUUAUUGCCCUUUCAGUGCCUGCUCUCAUGAAGAUGAAUGUGUCCUGUUCGUCAACGCCGGUGGGUAUAUCUGAAAAAAACUGCAAAGGAAGCAGAAGACAAUGUGCUCCCGAGAGAGAUGCACAAUAUUCAAUACUCUUAUGUCCCGCACAAGGUCCCUGCUCCCUUCCCUGCUGCAGUGGGGAGACGAGAGAGGAGAUUGCUGGAUCUGGAAAUGGAGGUCAGCACCACCUACACGACAAGAGCGCCGCUCCUCUCCGACUCUUCAAGGUCUCUCAUGCUCUGCUCUUGCUCUG